UUAUUUUUCAAUGCACAAUAAAACAAUUUAUUUAAAAACACCACAUCCAAUAUUGUGUAUUUGGCACAUGAGGCAAUGUUGCAGGCACAUUCAUACUCAACAUUUAUGUUUUGGAAAGAUUCAAAGUGAAUCAGUAGUAUUUUCUUCACAAGCUACAGUCAAGAUACACACACAGUUAUCUCUACAUAAGAAAGAUAGUACUUGAUUUCCAAAAUGACCAAAUAUUUACACAUGUGUAUAUCAUACUGCAUCAGACAUAUUCCAGUUCCAUUGGCUACUUCAUGCAGGCCUCAAAAUCUUACUAAUAAUGGGGGCACCAAGUGUCUCAAGGGCAAUUUUGAUUGCCAGUCACCUGAGAUGAGACUCUGAUCCCAAAGGAAUCAGGCUCUUCCAAAUAGAAAAAGUCUUUCUGAUGUGAUGUGGAAGAAUGAAAUCCUCAAUGCCAUUCUAUAGUUUCUCAAAUACCAUUCUCAAAAACAAGUCUCAUGAACACAUGAGCUGCAUAGUGUGGUAACAGCAGCAAAACUUUCCCAUUCAUUGACAUAUUUCUUGUUCAUUUCUUUAAUAACUUUCAUUGUAUUCCUACUCCUGGUCUUUUGGUAAUACUGCUACCUAAAACUUUCAAGGGGUAAAAGAACACACUAGUCCAACCUUCCCCAGACCUAAAUUCUUUAUCUAUGUAAGAUUUCCUCAAAAAAUGUUAAAAAUAAAGAGGUUAUUUUAAGAGAGAUCACUUAAAAAAAGCAACAUAAAAUGUUCUUUUCUUUUCUUUUCCUGUAUCUUCUUUUCUGUCUUCUGUCCUCACAAACAUAUUGUCUUAACAUUCCAUUAAAAAUAAUAGAGGCAGUGUGGUGAAAUGAAAAGAGAACAGAUCUGACUAAGAUUACCUAGGUUUUAGCCCUGCCACUGCCAGUCACUAACUGUGUUCCACUAACCCACUCAUUUAACUUAUUCAUCACUCUCAUUUUUCUGGGACUUAGUUUCCUUAUUCAUAAAAGAGGAAGUUAAUCAGAUGAUCUCUGAUGUUCCUUUCAUCCUUGAACAUUCUAUGAUUAUGGAAAAGAAAAGCAACAUAUCUCCUAACACAACAAUAACAUAUCUGCAUCCAGAAUUUCUUGGCAAGGACAGAAACAAAAUCUCUUUGAUUUGAAUAGUUCCAUGAUGCAUUCAAAUAAUUCAAAUAAUACUUCAAAUUAUGAAGUAAUUUUAUUUUGCUGAAUUUAAUUUGAGAUAAUCAAUAUCUUCCAAUAUACCUUAUGGAUUUGCCCAUCCUGAUAAAAAAGAACUUCUAAGGAUUUUAACUUCUCACUCAAGCUGUCAAACCAAACUUUCUGGGGCAUCUGGGAUAGGAUUCAUGGAGGGAAUGAUUGACAUUAUCUUCCAAAUCUUUAAGUUUCUUUGACCCUAAAGGGAGUAGAAUGAAUAGUCGAGUAUAUUGAAAUUUUAGAAGAGCAGGCCAUCCAGGUGUCCAGACAGUAAAAGUAAUAUAGUAGAAUAAAAAUUAGCCUGAAAACUUGGGUUCUCACCCUGAUACUGCCAGUGUGUGACCUAAGUAAAAUCAUGUCACUUUAGGAAGACUUGAUUUUAUUUUCUGCAAAACAAGGAGGUUAAACAAGAAAAUUUAUAUGGUUCUUUUAGAUUAAUAAAGUAAAUUUUCUCAUGCUGUUGAAUGGUUUGAUUCCAUUUUAAGAUGCAUUUAAUUUUUCAUUGAUAUCCAAAAUGAAGUGUCAGUACUAUUUGUUAGGAUUUAACGCUUGAAUCUAAUUCCAUCACCAAAUGUGGUGAGCUUGGUUGCAUAAACACAAUGGCAUGGAUACUUUUUUCAUAUAAAUUAGAGUUAAGAAUUAAAUCCUUGAAAAAAGAUAAGAAUGAUUCUAUUAUGAUAUUCAUUCUGGGCUUUGGAAGAAGUACAGGAGUUAGUAAAUGGAAGGUGCCUUCCCAUUGCUCUUUGCAAAGGCAAAGACCCUCAUCCACUAAUACACAUUCCUGAUUUUUGAUCUUAUUUCUAGUCCUUGCUCCGCAGUGAUAUGCUCUUAAAUCUGUGAUUUUCUGUGCAAUAAAUGAUUGAAAGAAUGGACCCAACAUUCUACCAAUACAGAAGUUUCUCUUUGGUCGUUGGGAAGAGGAAUGGACAAUGGCGGUUUAUUUAGCAACUAUGUCAUGAAUGCUAAACAGUUAUUUUUUGAGAAUUACAAAGAUUGGAAUCUGUCUUUGGAU
rnacentral:lncRNA from 1 species